rnacentral:RNase_P_RNA from 1 species
ACCGCAGACCGCUUUAUCGCUGUCCUGAGAAAUUGGGAGAGAGGAAAGUCCGGGCAACACAGGGCGUCGUACUUCUUAAUGGGAAGGCAGGCGAAAGUUUGCAGUAAGGUAACAGAAAAUGACCACCCGGUUUUGAUGCGUCAUGACCGGGAACGGGUGAAAAGGUGAGGUAAAAGCUCACCGGCGGCGGUGGCAACAUCGCUGGCCGUACCUCUUUCGGGUUGUAAGGCCAAAUAUAUCGCGAUUUGCUCCCGAGUAACCGGGAGCAUACAGGGCUGCCCGCUUUGGUUUUUCGGAAGUCGCGAGGGGUAGGCUGCUCGAUCGUUUCGGUGACGAAACGGCUAGAUAAAUGAUAAAGGCCUUUCGAGCAAUCGGAGGGAACAGAACCCGGCUUACAGGUCUGCGUAUUUU